ensembl:lncRNA
GCUAUUUUCAGUUGCUUUAUUGCUUCACUAGCCCACAUGGACUUGCAAAUAUAUAAAAGUUAGUCCUAUGACAUAACAUGUUGAGACUCCAGAUUCCCAGAGAGACUUCCAAGAGAGAAUUAGAGGAUGGAGUCAGGGUAGAUAAGAGAAUCUUAGGAUGUAGAGAAGAGUCGGUACUCAACAGAUCCCAGGAUUCCCGUAUCCCAAACCCUUUAAUAUUGUACUGGUUGAGGUGAGAGUUCAUUCUGUUUCCCCAUCCCAAAGCCCCCUUUACUCUUAUGUAUUCCAUCACCUCAAUUUAUAUGCAUAGCUUCCCUGAUUGCUGUUUUACUGUUUGCUUUGAUUAAUAUGUUUACUCACUAUACUUGAUUGCUUUUGGUAUAAUAAACAUAUGGUAAGCAAGGAGACUUAAACUGGAUGAGAUUAAGCUGAUUGUUGCCCUUCAGGUCUGGGGCAGAAUCAUUUUCUCCUCCCUCUCUCCCCUAGCAACCAUCACAUGUGGAAUUUAUCUGGAACCCAGCAUCAGAACUGCAUUCCUAGCCUACAAAUGUCUCAUGGGGAGCAGAUAUCAUUCCAAGCCCCAUGAUUCCUCUGAGGAUAGAAGCGGGGAAGAGUGAUCACUUAGCCCCUAUAAAGCCUUUGUUGAUCAGUCCAGGAGACAGAUUAAAUGAAACAGGUGUGUCUCGUGCUCCCUUUUUAGCAGUACUGAGCUGUCUAUUAAUAUUAGGUUCUUUAAUUCCUAUUUGUUCCAAUCUUCAGAGAAAGGAAAGAAGUUUUCUUUUAGUUGUUUACUUUUGUUUUAGAAAUGAAAGAGUUUAUUGGAAAAUUUUGGGAUCAAAUUGUGAAGGGCCAAGCAACAUCUGCUUGACUGCAAUGCAGAAUACAUGAAGGGGGAAAGGAACUGGGCUUGUAGUUUCACUGAGAUGGGCAAACUCUAUCUACUAAUGCAGAUGGGCAUCCUCUCUGCAACUUAGUCUUAAGGAGUUGCCUCAGAGCUUUGAGAGGUCAAGUAAUUCCCAAAGGUCAGACAUAGCCUGUGCCAGAGGUCUGAAAGGAACCCAGAUGUACUGUGGCUCCAAGACCAACUCCCCACCCACUACAACAUGCUUCUUCAAGAGUAAUAGUGCGAAAUAAGACUAGUACAUACAUUGUUUAAUACUAUUCCCUUUAUAUGAUCUAUAUUCCAUUCAACCUGACUGUUUAGCUGCUUCCAGCACAUAUUCUAGCUUUCUCUUGAUUUAACCCAUUCAAGGAGGCUCUUCCCUAUUCAGAAUACUCUCCUUCCUCAUAUCUAUUUAUUGAGUUCUCGCCCUUCCUACAAGCCUGACUGAGAUUCUAUGUUACCUAUGAUGUUUUCUGUUAUGCCCCCUCCCCCAGAGGAAAAUAAGAUUUCCUUUAUUUUGACAUUUAGGGGUCUCUACUGAAAUAAUAGUUUAUUUUAAGAUAAGAGAAGGAAGGAAAGGGAAUUGGGAUAAUCUAUCUAAAGAAACCACCAAAUCUUGUUGGUAAUUGUACACUAUCAGUUAUUUCUCUACCUAAAAGUCCCAGUUCCUACAGUAAACUAUGCUUCUCUAACUCAAAUUCCCCCCUUAGAUGGUGAUGGAGGUAGUAGGGUAGGAAGGAAAGCAGGACCAGGGCUCAAAGGGAUGGUCUCCCUGACAGAUGGUUUUUUGGUGUCGUCAGCAACCCUGUAGAGAUAUCUCUCAGCAUCAACAGGAUCCACAGGAACAAGCAGUUGGUAGGUGGAUAACAAGGAAAGCCACAGGAGAGAGAAUAUCUAGCUCUCUAGGUCCAUCCUAGAAGACUCGAUAAAACUGAACCUCCAACUUCCCUAACUGUUAGAAGAAGCAAGAGUCCUGUCCAGAGUUCUAAAACAUUACAGAUUCUG